UGACUGUUUAUUUACUUUUACUAGUUAUUCUUCCUCCAUGGAAAUUAUGCUUCUGAAUAUAGUGAAUAAAACCAGAUGUGAUCACACUGAUUUUGACUUAGUGCUAUUUUCAACAUAAUAAUAUUUCCUAUGGGAUAGAGAGCAAAGAAGGGAAGGUGAAGGGAAGAAAAUCACCUUUGCAUUUCCACUCUGUUAGCAGGUCAUGAAUUUGAUGUGUUACGUCAUAAUACAAAAAUUAGCUGGGCAUGGUGGCAGGGGCCUGUAAUCCCAGCUAUUCGUGAGGCUGAGGCAGAGAAUUGCUUGAACUCGGGAGGCGGAGGUUGCAGUGAGCCAAGAUCAUGCCACUGCACUGCAGCCUGGGCGACAGAGCGAGACUACCUCUCAAAAAAAAAAAAAAAAAAGGAAGAAAGAAAGGAAAAGAAAAGAAAAAGAAAUAGAAGUAUAAAGGGGAAUCAUAAGAAUUCUAAAUGGUAAGCAAGAGAAAAUCCAGUGACUGGAAAAGAAUAAGAAGAAAAACACUGACCAAGAUAAUAAUCCCAAGAAGUCAAAAAUUAAGACCUGAGAGGAAGAAGGCAGACUAAAGAAAGUAGGUGAGACAGUGACCUGAACCAAAGUGCUGGCUCCACGCUCUGUGACGUUGGGUGUCCUCAAUGCCCUCAGAAGCAUGGUCUUGGUGACACUGGUCAGGUGCAUGAAGUGUUAGAAAAUUUUAUUAAAGAUUCCA
rnacentral:lncRNA from 1 species